rnacentral:rRNA from 1 species
UACGUAGGGGGGCAAGCGUUGUCCGGAUUUAUUGGGCGUAAAGAGCGUGUAGGCGGCCUGACAGGUCUGCUGUGAAAACUCGAGGCUCAACCUCGAGAUGUCGGCGGAAACCGUCUGGCUAGAGUCCGGAAGAGGAGAGUGGAAUUCCUGGUGUAGCGGUGAAAUGCGCAGAUAUCAGGAAGAACACCUAUGGCGAAGGCAGCUCUCUGGGACGGUACUGACGCUGAGACGCGAAAGCGUGGGGAGCGAACAGG